AAAUACACUCCCUAAAGCAAUCUGGAAGUGCAUUUUUUAACCAUCAUUUUAGUUCUUCCUGGGGGACAGUGCCAGGAGGUGCCCCCUAGGAAUCAGAUUGGUUGGAAUAGCUUAAGUAGCAGCUGUUGCAGCCAGUAAGACCAAAACAAGAAGUUACAGGCAGGGGAGGAGGGGCUGGAAAAAGCUCCCUGCUCUGAAGGUUUCCCUGACUGCUGAAUGAUGCUUCUGUAAUACACAUUAAGUGUGUUCUUUGCCUUCAAAAUAAAAGAAGAAGGAGGAAGUUUAUGAUUGAGGCACUUGGAUGUGCAGUACCUGCCCUCCUGACAUUGGUUUCCAGCAACAAUGUUCACUUUCAUCUUCAAGGACCUGAUUAUCAAUUCUGUGGGAGUCUCAGAGGCACCUUCGAUUGGAAUCUGUCAUGGAUGCCCUUUCUGCUGCUCAACACAGAAAACACUUUCUUCUUAAUUUGGGUUCCUUGCAUGUGUGCCCCCUCCAGUUUCCUCGAUGGAAGAUGUCAAAAGGUCUUGCAUGAAGAUAGUGAUGACAGGUUCUGCAUGCCUACAGGAUGUGUCAAGUUCAUCCAGUUCCCAGUUCUCAGAUGACUGUGUCAACUUGGUGAACCUGGUGUUUUGGAAGCAUCAUUAUAAAUGUAACUUAUGAAUGGCUGUCAUCCUUUGGACAUUACAAAUGUGGAGAAUAAAG